rnacentral:lncRNA from 1 species
UUGAUUGAUUAGUUGGUUGAUUGAUUGGUUGGUUGGUUGGUUGGUUGGUUGAUUAAACACGUUUGAUAGGGUCACUUAGAACAAGGGAAAAAAAACCUCAAGAGACCUUGCAUCCCGUAUUAAACGCAUGACACGGAAACAUACAUUAAGUGAUUGAUUGGUUGGUUGGUUGGUUAAACACGUUGGUUAAACAUGUUGGUUGAACACGUUGGUUAAACACGUUGGCUGGUUAAACACGUUGGAAAGGCUCAAUUUAAACAAGCGAAAAAAAACAUCUUGGAUCCCGUAUUUAACACAUGAAACGGAAACAUGCAUUGAUUGGUUGAUUGGUUGGUUGGUUGGUUGGUUGGUUGGUUGGUUAAACACGUUGGUUAAACACGUUGGUUAAACACGUUGGCUGGUUAAACACGUUUGAUAGGCUCAAUUUAAACAAGCGAAAAAAAAAAACAUCUUGGAUCCCGUAUUUAACACAUGAAACGGAAACAUGCAUUGAUUUAUUGGUUGGUUGGUUGGUUGGUUGGUUGGUUGGUUGGUUGGUUGGUUGAUUAAACACGUUGGUUAAACAUGCUGGUUAAACACGUUAGUUAAACAUGCUGGUUAAACACGUAGUUUAAACACGUUUGAUAGGCUCAAUUUUAACAAGCGAAAAAAACCAUCUUGGAUCCCGUAUUUAACACAUGAAACGGAAACAUGCAUUGAUUGGUUGAUUGGUUGGUUGGUUGGUUGGUUGGUUGGUUGGUUGGUUGGUUAAACAUGUUGGUUAAACACGUUGGUUAAACACGUUGGCUGGUUAAACACGUUAGAUAGGCUCAAUUUAAACAAGCGAAAAAAAACAUCUUGGAUCCCGUAUUUAACACAUGAAACGGAAACAUGCAUUGAUUGAUUGAUUGGUUGGUUGGUUGGUUGGUUGGUUGGUUGGUGGAUGGUUGGUUGGUUGGUUGUUGGUUGGUUGGUUAAACACGUUGGUUAAACAUGUUGGUUAAACACGUUGGUUAAACACGUUGGCUGGUUAAACACGUUAGAUAGGCUCAAUUUAAACGAGCGAAAAAAAAACAUCUUGGAUCCCGUAUUUAACACAUGAAACGGAAACAUGCAUUGAUUGAUUGAUUGAUUGAUUGGUUGGUUGUUGGUUGGUUGGUUGGUUGGUUGGUUGGUUAAACACGUUGGUUAAACAUGUUGGUUAAACAUGUUGGUUAAACACGUUUGAUAGGCUCAAUUAAAACAAGCGGAAAAAAAGAGACCUUGAAUCCCGUAUCAAACACAUGAAACGGAAACAUUGAUUGAUUGAUUGAUUGAUUGAUUGAUUGAUUGAUUGAUUGAUUGAUUGAUUGGUUGGUUGGUUGGUUGGUUGGUUGGUUGGUUGGUUGGUUGAAAUUCAAACACUCAUAAAACUGUUUAAAUAGUGCCAAAACCACAUAAUUUGAUGACCUUGACCUUUGACCUUGUGACCUUCGUCAAGGUCAUUGCUCCACAAGGUCAUUGCAAAAGACCCUAUGGGUCAAGGACCUUUUGUUUAAGAGUUUUGCCUAAAAAUGGCUUUUUAAAAACCAUCGAUGGGAGUUAUGUCCCUUAUAUGAUGGUAAAAUCAAUAUAGUCAUAAUGUAAAAAAGUUGCCCCUUAAAGUACCAAGCAUUUUUCACUGCUUAAUAUUUUUGUAUCUAUAACCGUUCAAGAAUUAUAGGGAAAUGAAAAACUUAUAAAAAUCUAAAAUAUGACCUUGACCUUUGACCUUGACCUAAUUUUCUAAGUUAGGACCCAGGGGACUCAAAUAAAAACAUUCCAGGGUUAUACGGUUAACGGUUUAUGAGUUUAAAAAAACAUACCGACAAAUUUAUUCCGUAAAGGUAGAUAACUCCUAUAAAAUUUCAUCGAAUCGCUUCGAUCCAAAUACGCCAAAAAUUACUGAGGAUGUAACGAACAAUUUGUAAAAAGAAUUUUGUCGCUAUCUUUUUUGUUACGAAGGAGAUGCACACAGAGGAUAAACAGUGAAAAGGGAGAUAACUCUUACAUAGAAAAUGGUUCGCCUUAGCAGGGUGAAAUUUAAAAGCGCAUAAACUAUACGAUACCAUAUGAGAAAUAUCUAAGCGACAUAUUGCGAAACAAACAUUUAUGCGCAAGAACAAAAUUUGGCGGAAGAAAAAAAUAAUAAUAAUAAUUAAAAACCAAUUGUUCAGAGAACAAUUGAAAGUCUUUCCACACCAAAGAAAUUUGGAUAAGAAGGUAGUUUCUUUAUACUGAUGCGAAAAAUGAUGGUUUAAUUAUCUUUUUGAGUGAUAUAAGGGAGAUAAUAUGCUACUUCCGGUGAAAUGAAUGUCACAUCCGGU